rnacentral:rRNA from 1 species
ACGAACCGUACGAACGUUAUUCGGAAUCACUGGGCUUAAAGAGUGCGUAGGCGGCUUGGUAGGUUGGGUGUGAAAUCCCUCGGCUCAACCGAGGAAUUGCGCCCAAAACCCUCAAGCUUGAGGGAGAUAGAGGUGAGCGGAACUGAUGGUGGAGCGGUGAAAUGCGUUGAUAUCAUCAGGAACACCGGUGGCGAAGGCGGCUCACUGGGUCUCUACUGACGCUGAGGCACGAAAGCUAGGGGAGCAAACGGG